CAUUAUCCUUCAUUAUUGACGUCAUACAGUCAGUGUUCUUCGCAAACAUGUACUCUAUGUUGAAGCCAGCGACGUUACUGGAAAAGUAUUGUGACGUAUCGUCUCGUCGGACCAACGAUCAAACUACUGAUCCCCCUGCAUCCGGUAGGUGUCAGUGCGGAGCAAUUCAAGACAGGACAAGGACAGCUCUGUGACGUCAUAGACACUCCAGUUGGACACAAUGAAGAUCCGCGAUUGGGACAAUGGGUUAUAUUUAACCACACUGAGUCACUAUGACGUAACAAUGAUAAUAAUCUUCAAAAAUGAAACGAGAUAUAUGUAUUACUUCUAGUACUGUGGGGGAAGAUAGGACAGCACAUAAUAUCCAAAUAUCCUGAUCGUGUUUUAAACAACUUGUAUGAUUCUUUGAAUGUUCUUUGUUUACUACCAAAUAGAACGAAAAAAUAGAGUGAAAAGGUGUCCCAUCUUUCCCCACCCUACUCUACCACUUACUUUGAACUGCAUUGAUCGGUGGGAUGCAUUAUGACGUCAUAAUCUUGGUACCCUUGGACGAGAAAGCCAUCGAAAGAAAUCCCUUAAAGUGCGCCACCUUCUGGGUUCGGAACAUCCCAAGUAAAGGUCACCGAAAGGUAGAUGGUUGUAGCGCCACCUCGCGGUUUGAUUGUUGUGUUCAUGAAAUACCGAAGGU